AGAGCAGCGGCCAAGGCUGAGGAGAGAGCUGGGACUCGAGACCCUGCUCCACCCUGCUGGCUCUCGCUCGGCCCCAUUACCUGGCAAGCCCCGGCAUCCUUGACCCACGUCCGUGGCGCUGCCUGGGUAGGAACGCGCCUGAAGACCGCGCAGGACACUACCACUGGGCAUCCUGGGUUUGAUGUAAGUGGCCUGACCCGCGUGGGGCACGAGGUGGGGAAAGCGCCUCAGAGUCCAGCGCGCGCGUCCGCCACCUGCGACCACGGAGCUCUACACCCUCUGCACGGUCCCUGGACCUCCUUCCAGUGGGUUCAGUCCAGAUAGCCCCCUCCAGCCACUAAGGGCAUCUCUCACUCAGACCCCCAGUGGCAUAUUUCACAUCUCUGAAUGAUUUCGGCUGCGUUUUGCACAAAACCGGCUCCCGCGCGGUUCCGUAGGUCCAGGGCUCGGAGCACCUGCCUGGUCACCCUUUGCCCUAACCCGCAGCCCCACGUCCUGACUGCUCGCCCGAUUCUCUCUGGGUGGGGUCUUUGCCCUUGGGAGAGUCGCUGGGGAGUCUCUAGAUCACCCUCCACCCCGCCGCCAGCCACAGGCUUCCCUCUGGGCCUCGGGGUUCCCCAGUGCUGGGGUUCCCGUCCGGGGCUUCGCGGCCGCUCCCCUGCAGUCGGUAGCUCGGAGCAGCUCUGCGAGCUCGGCUCUGCCGCACCCCGCGGAGCUCACACUCGACCUUCCAGAGAAGGGUGUGGACACCGUGGGAGGUUGGGGAGGCCUCGGCCUAGGCUUCUGCGGUCUUCCCGGAUGGCACGAAGGCCCUGGAGCCUUUCCACUAGCACCGGCGGAACCCUGCUUCUGCACGGAGGAGGGAGUGGGAAAUGGGCGGUCAGGCUUGGGGCCGCUUGGUUUCAGCCUAGAUUCCCGACCUCAGAACCGUCGGCGGUAGCAUCUUUUCCUCGCCUUUCUGAGGUCUCGUCGUGAUAGUGCGUGAGGUCCUGGAUCCCAUCUUUUCGCCUCCACACCACGCGCGUCCCCCAUCCGCCGUCGAGCGACUCGAGACUACGGAGGUCCAGGCGGUGGCCGGGAGGCUGCGUGGAAGAGGAGGAGGCGGCCAGGAGGCGGGGUUGGUUGUUA
rnacentral:lncRNA from 1 species